rnacentral:rRNA from 1 species
AUGGCAAACGGUUUAACAGGUGUGGAUUUUGUACGCUGUUGGAUAUCCUGGAGUAUCUUGCCGCCAAGCCGGCGCCCCGGUUUAAUGUGCGAAUAUACCGGUGAGGUUGACGAUCCUCAACGCCACUGCAACAUCCAAUUAUCCGAGGAAGAAGUUACUGAAGGUGUAAAGAAGAUUCUGAAUGAAUCAGAUCUGGUCUGUAGUCAAACCGGCCUGAGUCCCUUCUACACCAAGAACAAACCGCCCGCUGGUGAUGACCCCUUCUGGAAACGAAAAUCCAUAGAGAAAGCGGCAAAGCCAACUGGAGACAAAGUGGCCAAGCCAACCCGCCCGAAGACCAAAGCCGUAAAACGGACAUCAAAGCGGAAACCGGCUGACCGGAUUAAUAUGGAGCUUGAUGAUGAUACUGAUGACCCAGAAGUUGAGGUAGAACUUGACUCACUUGGUUCUCUUUUUAUGCAUCUUGUUAACAAUGAUCUUCCUCAGGAGGAAGCUGAAGCUAGUCAAGCUGAGGACGUAGAGGUAAUUACCCUUUCCUCUGGUUUAGACUCUAUGCCAACAUAA